rnacentral:rRNA from 1 species
GGAAUUUUGGACAAUGGGGGAAACCCUGAUCCAGCGACGCCGCGUGAAGGAUGACGGUCUUCGGAUUGUAAACUUCUUUUAUUUGGGACUAAGAAAUCUGUGGAAACACGGAGAGUGAAUGUACCAGAUGAAUAAGCAACGGCUAACUUCGUGCCAGCAGCCGCGGUAAUACGAAGGUUGCAAGCGUUACUCGGAAUUACUAGGCGUAAAGGGCAGGUAGGUUGUUUGGUAAGUCUAUUGUGAAAGCUCCCGGCUUAACUGGGAGAGGCCAAUGGAUACUGCCAAGCUUGAGUAUAGGAGAGGUUACUGGAAUUCCCGGUGUAGCGGUGAAAUGCGCAGAUAUCGGGAGGAACACCAAUGGCGAAAGCAGGUAACUGAACUAUUACUGACACUCAACUGCGAAAGCUAGGGGAGCAAAC